rnacentral:rRNA from 1 species
ACGGGUGCGUAACGCGUGGGAAUCUGCCCUUGGGUUCGGAAUAACAGUUAGAAAUGACUGCUAAUACCGGAUGAUGUCUUCGGACCAAAGAUUUAUCGCCCAAGGAUGAGCCCGCGUAAGAUUAGGUAGUUGGUGGGGUAAUGGCCUACCAAGCCGACGAUCUUUAGCUGGUCUGAGAGGAUGAUCAGCCACACUGGGACUGAGACACGGCCCAGACUCCUACGGGAGGCAGCAGUGGGGAAUAUUGGACAAUGGGCGAAAGCCUGAUCCAGCAAUGCCGCGUGAGUGAUGAAGGCCUUAGGGUUGUAAAGCUCUUUUACCAGGGAUGAUAAUGACAGUACCUGGAGAAUAAGCUCCGGCUAACUCCGUGCCAGCAGCCGCGGUAAUACGGAGGGAGCUAGCGUUGUUCGGAAUUACUGGGCGUAAAGCGUACGUAGGCGGUUACUCAAGUCAGAGGUGAAAGCCCGGGGCUCAACCCCGGAACUGCCUUUGAAACUAGGUAGCUAGAGUCUUGGAGAGGUUAGUGGAAUUCCGAGUGUAGAGGUGAAAUUCGUAGA